UACGUAGGGUGCAAGCGUUGUCCGGAAUUAUUGGGCGUAAAGAGCUCGUAGGCGGUCUGUUACGUCCGCUGUGAAAACCCAGGGCUUAACCCUGGGCUUGCAGUGGAUACGGGUAGACUAGAGGCAGGUAGGGGAGAAUGGAAUUCCCGGUGUAGCGGUGAAAUGCGCAGAUAUCGGGAGGAACACCGGUGGCGAAGGCGGUUCUCUGGGCCGUGACCUGACGCUGAGGAGCGAAAGCGUGGGGAGCGAACAGG
rnacentral:rRNA from 1 species